AUUGAACGCUGGCGGUAUGCUUAACACAUGCAAGUCGAACGGUAACAGGCCUUCGGGCGCUGACGAGUGGCGGACGGUGAGUAACGCGUAGGAAUCUGCCUCAUAGUGGGGGACAACGUGGGGAAACUCACGCUAAUACCGCAUACGCCCUACGGGGGAAAGCGGGGGAUCUUCGGACCUCGCGCUAUGAGAUGAGCCUGCGUUAGAUUAGCUAGUUGGUAGGGUAAAAGGCCUACCAAGGCGACGAUCUAUAGCUGGUCUGAGAGGACGAUCAGCCACACUGGGACUGAGACACGGCCCAGACUCCUACGGGAGGCAGCAGUGGGGAAUAUUGGACAAUGGGCGCAAGCCUGAUCCAGCAAUACCGCGUGUGUGAAGAAGG
rnacentral:rRNA from 1 species